rnacentral:rRNA from 1 species
AAUGAACGCUGGUGGCAGACCUAACACAUGCAAGUCGAACGGUCUAUAUUAAACUUCGGUUUUUAUAGAUAGUGGCAAACGGGUGAGUAACGCGUGGGAAUCUGCCCUAUAGUACGGAAUAGCCGUUGGAAACGACGAUUAAUACCGUAUAUGUUCUCCGGAACAAAGAUUUAUCGCUAUAGGAUGAGCCCACGUUAGAUUAGUUUGUUGGUGAGGUAAUGGCUCACCAAGACUGCGAUCUAUAGCUGGUUUGAGAGGAUGAUCAGCCACACUGGAACUGAGAUACGGUCCAGACUUCUACGGAAGGCAGCAGUGAGGAAUAUUGGACAAUGGGCGAAAGCCUGAUCCAGCAAUACCGCGUGAGUGAUGAAGGCUUUAGGGUUGUAAAACUCUUUCAGUAGGGAUGAUAAUGACGGUACCUACAGAAGAAGCACCGGCUAACUCCGUGCCAGCCGCCGCGGUAAU